rnacentral:rRNA from 1 species
AUUGAACGCUGGCGGCAUGCCUUACACAUGCAAGUCGAACGGUAACGCGGGGCAACCUGGCGACGAGUGGCGAACGGGUGAGUAAUGCAUCGGAACGUGCCUGGUAGUGGGGGAUAACUGCUCGAAAGAGCAGCUAAUACCGCAUACGACCUGAGGGUGAAAGGGGGGGAUCGCAAGACCUCUCGCUAUCAGAGCGGCCGAUGUCGGAUUAGCUAGUUGGUGGGGUAAAGGCCCACCAAGGCGACGAUCCGUAGCUGGUCUGAGAGGACGACCAGCCACACUGGGACUGAGACACGGCCCAGACUCCUACGGGAGGCAGCAGUGGGGAAUUUUGGACAAUGGACGCAAGUCUGAUCCAGCCAUGCCGCGUGCGGGAAGAAGGCCUUCGGGUUGUAAACCGCUUUUGUCAGGGAAGAAAUCUUCUGGACUAAUACUCUGGGAGGAUGACGGUACCUGAAGAAUAAGCACCGGCUAACUACGUGCCAGCAGCCGCCGUAAGAC